rnacentral:rRNA from 1 species
AGUGAACGCUGGCGGUAGGCCUAACACAUGCAAGUCGAACGGCAGCACAGUAAGAGCUUGCUCUUACGGGUGGCGAGUGGCGGACGGGUGAGGAAUACAUCGGAAUCUACUAUUUCGUGGGGGAUAACGUAGGGACACUUACGCUAAUACCGCAUACGAUCUACGGGUGAAAGCAGGGGAUCUUCGGACCUUGCGCGAUUGAAUGAGCCGAUGUCGGAUUAGCUAGUUGGCGGGGUAAAGGCCCACCAAGGCGACGAACCGUAGCUGGUCUGAGAGGAUGAUCAGGCACACUGGAACUGAGACACGGUCCAGACCCCGACGGGAGGCAGCAGUGGGGAAUAUUGGACAAUGGGCGCAAGCCUGAUCCAGCCAUACCGCGUGGGUGAAGAAGGCCUUCGGGUUGUUAAGCCCUUUUGUUUGGAAAGAAAAGCAGCAGGUUAAUACCCCGCUGUUCUGGCGGUACCCAAAGAAUAAGCACCGGCUAACUUCGUG